UGAUUCUAGUUUUGAAUAAGCCAAGCCA
rnacentral:sRNA from 1 species